CACGUAGGCACCAAGCGUUGUCCGGAUUUAUUGGGCGUAAAGAGCGUGUAGGCGGCCAGGUAGGUCUGCUGUGAAAACUCGAGGCUUAACCUCGAGCUGUCGGCGGAAACCAUCUGGCUAGAGUCCGGAAGAGGAGAAUGGAAUUCCCGGUGUAGCGGUGAAAUGCGCAGAUAUCGGGAAGAACACCCGUGGCGAAGGCGGUUCUCUGGGACGGUACUGACGCUGAGACGCGAAAGCGUGGGGAGCGAACAGG
rnacentral:rRNA from 1 species